rnacentral:tRNA from 1 species
GGUUUCAUGGUCUAGUUGGUUAUGACAUGAGCUUAACACGCUCAGGGUCCCCGGUUCGAGCCCGGGUGAAAUCA